AUCAGCUGGCGCUCCUGCUAAAUGCGGCCCCGCCCGGGGUAGGGCCAGGCCUCGGGAGGAAGAGCGCGUCUUUUGGGGCGCUGCUGUCGCAGCCCGGACGCGCGCGCCUUCUGUAGAGGCACGCACUUGAGGGCUUGGUGCCCUCCUCCUCCUCCUCCUCCUCCUCCUUCCGUGGCACCCGUGAAAGCGGUUAGGAAAGGGAGGUUGGGCGUCCAUUCGCGCAGGGCCUUGCUUUGCUAUGGGGAAGCCAAGAGGAUAUGACCUCAGCUGUGCGAACGUGAUUAAUGUGCAUAUUUUGACAACACUCGGGAGUGCAGGGAGCGAGAGUUGCUGGCAGGCACAAACACACAACACGCCCAUGCGGUAAAAGAGUCGCUGAACAGAAACCUGUGUGGACCGGGGCGACCGACGGUGAAGGGAAGUUUUAACCGUCUCCCACCCGAGGUUGUGUCUGCUAUUUGCAUUAUGAGCAAAACUCCCGUUGGCUUUCCAGAGACGUGUCUCUUAUAAUGCAAACAGCACAUUAAUGCAAACAGCACAUUCCAUGAGAUUUUUUUUCCGUGGGACCUUAGCAGAAGAAAUACACCCCCUAAGGCUUCUCAGGCUUGUCUGUUUUGGCUGAGAAGAGGGGAUGAAUAGUAGGAUCACCUGGAGCAAAAGUGUGUUAAUCCUGCCAUAGGUUCACUGGAAUUGUAGACCAUCUGAGUAAAAGGAGGAGACAUAAGAGGUCAAGGCUGUGAAGAGAAUAUGGGUGGUGGUGGAGCAGCUCCAGAUAUACCCAGAAAAGGACAAUUGCCUUGAUCCAUUUCAGUCUGGAUUCAGGCCAUGGUGCAGUAUUGAGAUGUCACUGGUUGCGCUACAUGAUAACCAACUAAGAGAGGCUGACAGGGGUUGAGUGACCCUGUUGGUCCUCCUGGAUCUCCAUGACUUUUUAUAACAUUGACCAUGAUAUCUUCCUGGACAGAUUCUCAGAG